GAUGAACGCUAGCUACAGGCUUAACACAUGCAAGUCGAGGGGCAUCAGGAAGAAAGCUUGCUUUCUUUGCUGGCGACCGGCGCACGGGUGAGUAACACGUAUCCAACCUGCCCUUUACUCGGGGAUAACCCUUCGAAAGAAGGCCUAAUACCCGAUGGCAUAUCCCUUCCGCCUGGUGGGGAUAUUAAAGAACUUCGGUUAUCGAUGGGGAUGCGUUCCAUUAGCUUGUUGGCGGGGUAACGGCCCACCAAGGCUUCGAUGGAUAGGGGUUCUGAGAGGAAGGUCCCCCACAUUGGAACUGAGACACGGUCCAA
rnacentral:rRNA from 1 species